rnacentral:piRNA from 1 species
GGGAUUUUAGUAGAUGAAAAAGA